GAUGCCGGGAGCAGAGCGGCCUCAGAGCGAGUUAGCGGGCUUGGGCGCGCUGGUGGGGGGAAGGGAUUGCGAGAGGCUGCCCCCCGGGGCCCCGAGACUCCAGGAAAACAGAGUAAGGGAUGAACAUGCCAGUCCAGUCUGGUGGACAUAAUACCUCAGAAGGGGUGGACUGUGUUUUCACCAGAGGACUAAAUUAAUAUGCUGGCAAAGGGGAUGGAGCAGGAGCUGACGCAGUGGCUACACCUGAUGAUAGAAAGGUAGGCCACCAUUAUAACAACAAAAUAUGGGUAGGUCUGGAGAACAGCCCACCUAAGAUGUGAUCUCACUCUUAGGAGUGUUGUUCACAUGGGUAAUGAAGUCUUCCAAAGAAAUAAACAAGUUUCACAGAAUAAGUUGAACAGCAACUCUUUUAGUAGUAUAGGAAGCCAAGGACAGAUAUGUCACUUCCUGGAUGAUGCACAAUGUGAAUGUUGUACCCUGACAAUUAGAGAAUGAUUCUCUAGUCUCAGUGAUGCUACAAGGAAUGGUUUCUUUAGAACUGACUCCAGACUCACUCAUAAAAGCACACACAGAUGACAGCCAUGUUAUUUUUUUGUUU